GACGAACGCUGGCGGCGUGCUUAACACAUGCAAGUCGAACGGAAAGGCCCUGCUUGCAGGGUACUCGAGUGGCGAACGGGUGAGUAACACGUGGGUGAUCUGCCCUGCACUUCGGGAUAAGCUUGGGAAACUGGGUCUAAUACCGGAUAGGAGCCAUCUUUAGUGUGGUGGUUGGAAAGUUUUUUCGGUGUAGGAUGAGCUCGCGGCCUAUCAGCUUGUUGGUGGGGUAAGGCCUACCAAGGCGGCGACGGGUAGCCGGCCUGAGAGGGUGUACGGCCACAUUGGGACUGAGAUACGGCCCAGACUCCUACGGGAGGCAGCAGUGGGGAAUAUUGCACAAUGGGCGCAAGCCUGAUGCAGCGACGCCGCGUGGGGGAUGAAGGCCUUCGGGUUGUAAACUCCUUUCGCUAGGGACGAAGCUUUUUUGUGACGGUACCUAGAGAAGAAGCACCGGCUAACUACGUG
rnacentral:rRNA from 1 species